rnacentral:misc_RNA from 1 species
AAGUCGUAACAAGGUUUCCGUAGGUGAACCUGCGGAGGGAUCAUUAAUAAAGCCAUGGAGUGCACUUAAUUGUGGCUCUUAAACUUUUAAACUUUCACACCAACCCAGAGGGGCGUUUGGUGAGCACUUGUGCUAUACCAAUUCUAUCCCAGUACGCUUUUCUGAGCCUUUUGGUUCAGGAUUGCAUUACAUAUAAGUUAAGCAUACAUUUUCCUAUUAACUACAAUGAAUGAUUUAAGAAUGUAAACCCCUUUAAAUAUA